rnacentral:rRNA from 1 species
GGUUAAGCGACUAAGCGUACACGGUGGAUGCCCUGGCAGUCAGAGGCGAUGAAGGACGUGCUAAUCUGCGAUAAGCGCCGGUAAGGUGAUAUGAACCGUUAUAACCGGCGAUUUCCGAAUGGGGAAACCCAGUGUGACUCGUCACACUAUCAUUAACUGAAUCCAUAGGUUAAUGAGGCGAACCGGGGGAACUGAAACAUCUAAGUACCCCGAGGAAAAGAAAUCAACCGAGAUUCCCCCAGUAGCGGCGAGCGAACGGGGAGGAGCCCAGAGCCUGAAUCAGCAUGUGUGUUAGUGGAAGCGUCUGGAAAGGCGCGCGAUACAGGGUGACAGCCCCGUACACAAAAGCGCAUGUGCUGUGAGCUCGAUGAGUAGGGCGGGACACGUGGUAUCCUGUCUGAAUAUGGGGGGACCAUCCUCCAAGGCUAAAUACUCCUGACUGACCGAUAGUGAACCAGUACCGUGAGGGAAAGGCGAAAAGAACCCCGGCGAGGGGAGUGAAAAAGAACCUGAAACCGUGUACGUACAA